rnacentral:rRNA from 1 species
UCGACGGCAGCACAGCAGAGCUUGCUCUGUGGGUGGCGAGUGGCGGACGGGUGAGUAAUGCAUCGGGACCUACCCAGACGUGGGGGAUAACCUCGGGAAACCGGGACUAAUACCGCAUACGUCCUACGGGAGAAAGCGGGGGAUCUUCGGACCUCGCGCGGUUGGACGGACCGAUGUGCGAUUAGCUAGUUGGUAGGGUAAAGGCCUACCAAGGCGACGAUCGCUAGCUGGUCUGAGAGGAUGAUCAGCCACACUGGGACUGAGACACGGUCCAGACUCCUACGGGAGGCAGCAGUGGGGAAUAUUGGACAAUGGGCGCAAGCCUGAUCCAGCAAUGCCGCGUGUGUGAAGAAGGCCUUCGGGUUGUAAAGCACUUUUAUCAGGAACGAAAUACCACGGGUCAAUAACCGGUGGGGCUGACGGUACCUGAGGAAUAAGCACCGGCUAACUUCGUGCCAGCAGCCGCGGUAAUACGAAGGGUGCAAGCGUUAAUCGGAAUUACUGGGCGUAAAGGGUGCGUAGGCGGUUCGUUAAGUCUGUUGUGAAAUCCCCGGGCUCAACCUGGGAAUGGCAAUGGAUACUGGCGAGCUAGAGUGUGUCAGAGGAUGGUGGAAUUUCCGGUGUAGCGGUGAAAUGCGUAGAGAUCGGAAGGAACAUCAGUGGCGAAGGCGGCCAUCUGGGACAACACUGACGCUGAAGCACGAAAGCGUGGGGAGCAAACAGGAUUAGAUACCCUGGUAGUCCACGCCCUAAACGAUGCGAACUGGAUGUUGGUCUCAACUCGGAGAUCAGUGUCGAAGCUAACGCGUUAAGUUCGCCGC